UAGUCAAACUUAGAAUAGUUGGAC
rnacentral:miRNA from 1 species